rnacentral:lncRNA from 1 species
AAUAACCUUAAUAACAUAAUUCAAGUAAAAAAUCGAAAUGACCAUCAAAGGAAUGACCAUCCUCGGGGGUAACAUGAAUGGUAGAUAGUGCAGCGCCUUCAAUGGAACUCAUGGAGUAACCACAGCUCAAAUUCAAAAUCACAUAUUUCAGAUGCCGAGAGGAUCUUCCCUAUACCAGAUUUACCGGUCACCAGAGCUGCUGAGCUUGAUUCCUUUUUGUAGAAAAUGGAAGCCAAAUCUCAUACACAUCUCUAGUGUAAAUUGGGUUAAAAGAUUUAGCUCGUCUAGUACAGGCGGAAUAAACAUGCCAUUUGUUUAUUAGAACUACCCAUAACAUAAGCCUUGGUGCAUGAGGAAAGUUCCUUAAAAUAGCUAUCCAGGAUAGAAACCUCUUUAGAGAAGUUACGAUGAGAAUAUGACUAAGCUCCAGGGAAAAUGAAACUUCCACGAGUAUAUCUCACAAUUUGUACUGAAAGAGAAAGGUAGCCAGCCAACUUUAAUAUAGGAGUGAUGUACAGAAGCAAUUUUGUUGUACUGCAAGUUUUGAUGAUAAUUUUGUAAGGAUAAACAAAGAGACUUGACUCAUAGGAGUCUAGGUAUUCAUUCGAAAGUGAAUCAACUAUCAUACACUCAGCAGGACCUAGAAACUCAUCCAAUUGAGUUUUGGAAAGAGAUCGAAGUCCCUUUCCUUCAGGAUCAGCAAAGACGCCUGGAUCGAAGAAUGAAAUUUCGAGCUUCUUUUCCAAAAAAAAAAAAAAAAAAAAAAAAAAAACCUUCAAAACCAAUUGCGGAUGCAGGCAUAGUCAUUUCUGGGAACAACAUUUUCUUGCAACACCGAAGACAACAAUGAAGGCAAUCGAAGAACAAAGAAAAUGAGAACAUAAAUUAAAAUGAAAACUAAUCAAUCAAUCCAGAGACAAACAAGGGAUGUCAAGAUGCUCGGCGAGCACAUUGCAAUACAUUCAGAAAUUUAAAUGUCAGGCAUGUAUUAAAAGAAAAAAAAAAAGGAAAAGAAAAAAUUGAAAGAGUAAAUCAAAAUACUCAUCAAGAAACAAAUCGUUCAUAAUUAGUACACAAAAACUUACGUUGGAGUGUUCAUCAGAUUGAUACUUCUAGAUGCUACCGUUUGGUCGAAUGUCUUCAAUGCUGUAUCUAAGGGAAGCUUCAUAGAAUAAGGAUUUAUUACUGGACUUCUUGCCAACUUCAGACUCCAUUAGAUCAUCUACUUUUGACUGCAAAAUCACCAGAUAAAUUAAAAAGGCAACCAAGAUUGUAAGAUUAUUACCACAAUAAAAUAAUUAAGAGCAUACUAAGUAACACAAUUUAAGCUGCACAACAUGAAUACCAGCCAUGUACAUAUUCAUGGGGCAGGAUACUACCAAACAGAUUUUCAAAAAAACAGAAAAAAGAAAAAAGAUGAUGAACUCAUUGUUAAUUUUAUUUUGGCAGAUAAGAAACACAAAAACAUCUGAAACAUAUUAGUAUUACUAGAGAUUUUCACCAUACGUUUUUGCGGGUCAUAUUGUCAAUAAACCUUCCUUAAUUAUUAUACUCUUUUACUAAAACUUCUAUGAAUAAAAAAUAAAAAAUAAAUAAAAAUUCAGAAUCCAAAUCUUUCGUCAAAACCAAAAAAUAGCCCAACAUGUUAACCAAAAAUGAAAAUCGCCGAGAUGUAUUUCAACUGAAACAGAUUCCAGAUUUCUUUUGUAAAAAAUCAUAUUCACAUCAAGAUUCAAAUUUUGUAAACCAAUAAUCCCCAGAGCUCACAGUUGACGAUAGAUAAUUCCUAAAAACAGCAAGAAAACAAAUCAGAAAAUCGUUUAUAUAAAAAUAACAAUUCGAUCAAUUUUCUCCAAUUUUUAAUAAUGCUUACA